GAUGAACGCUAGCUACAGGCUUAACACAUGCAAGUCGAGGGGCAGCAGGAUCUAGCAAUAGAUUGCUGGCGACCGGCGCACGGGUGAGUAACACGUAUCCAACCUGCCGAUAACUCGGGGAUAGCCUUUCGAAAGAAAGAGGAAGGCCCGAUGGUAUAAUCAGACCGCAUGGUCUUGUUAUUAAAGAAUUUCGGUUAUCGAUGGGGAUGCGUUCCAUUAGGCAGUUGGUGAGGUAACGGCUCACCAAACCUUCGAUGGAUAGGGGUUCUGAGAGGAAGGUCCCCCACAUUGGAACUGAGACACGGUCCAAACUCCUACGGGAGGCAGCAGUGAGGAAUAUUGGUCAAUGGGCGCAGGCCUGAACCAGCCAAGUAGCGUGAAGGAUGACUGCCCUAUGGGUUGUAAACUUCUUUUAUAUGGGAAUAAAGUUUUCCACGUGUGGAAUUUUGUAUGUACCAUAUGAAUAAGGAUCGGCUAACUCCGUGCCAGCAGCCGCGGUAAUACGGAGGAUCCGAGCGUUAUCCGGAUUUAUUGGGUUUAAAGGGAGCGUAGGUGGACAGUUAAGUCAGUUGUGAAAGUUUGCGGCUCAACCGUAAAAUUGCAGUUGAUACUGGCUGUCUUGAGUACAGUAGAGGUGGGCGGAAUUCGUGGUGUAGCGGUGAAAUGCUUAGAUAUCACGAAGAACUCCGAUUGGGAAGGCAGCUCACUGGACUGCAACUGACACUGAUUCUAGAAGGUGUGGGUAUCAAACCAGG
rnacentral:rRNA from 1 species